UACGUAGGGUGCAAGCGUUGUCCGGAAUUAUUGGGCGUAAAGCGCGCGCAGGCGGUCAAUGAAGUUGGGUGUUUAAGCCCGGGGCUCAACCCCGGUUCGCAUCCAAAACUGGUUGACUUGAGUGUAGGAGAGGAAAGUGGAAUUCCACGUGUAGCGGUGAAAUGCGUAGAGAUGUGGAGGAACACCAGUGGCGAAGGCGACUUUCUGGCCUAUAACUGACGCUGAGGCGCGAAAAGCGUGGGGAGCCAAAC
rnacentral:rRNA from 1 species